rnacentral:rRNA from 1 species
CCUACGGGGGGCAGCAGUGAGGAAUAUUGGUCAAUGGACGAGAGUCUGAACCAGCCAAGUAGCGUGAAGGAUGACUGCCCUAUGGGCUGUAAACUUCUUUUAUAAAGGAAUAAAACGAGGCAAGUGUGCCUUUUUGCAUGUACUUUAUGUAUAAGGAUCGGCUAACUCCGUUCCAGCAGCCGCGGUAAUACGGAGGAUCCGAGCGUUAUCCGGAUUUAUUGGGUUUAAAGGGAGCGUAGAUGGGUUGUUAAGUCAGUUGUGAAAGUUUGCGGCUCAACCGUGAAAUUGCAAUUGAUACUGGCAAUCUUGAGUACAGUUGAGGUAAGCGGAAUUCGUGGUGUAGCGGUGAAAUGCUCAGAUAUCACGAAGAACCCCGAUUGCGAAGGCAGCUUACUAAACUGUGACUGACAUUGAUGCUCGAAAGUGUGGGUAUCAAACAGGAUUAGAUACCCUGGUAGUC